rnacentral:rRNA from 1 species
GACGAACCGUGCAAACGUUGUUCGGAAUCACUGGGCUUAAAGGGCGCGUAGGCGGAUGCAUCAGUCAGGGGUGAAAUCCCACGGCUCAACCGUGGAAGUGCCUUUGAGACGGUGUGUCUAGAGGGAGGUAGGGGCGUGCGGAACUUCCGGUGGAGCGGUGAAAUGCGUAGAUAUCGGAAGGAACACCGGUGGCGAAAGCGGCAUCCUGGACCAACACUGACACUGAGGAGCGAAAGCCAGGGGAGCAAACGGG